rnacentral:misc_RNA from 1 species
UUGUGGAGGAGGACGCCGAAGGUGGGGCUGAUGACUGGGGUGAAGUCGUAACAAGGUAUCCGUACCGGAAGGUGCGGAUGGAUCACCUCCUAACAGGGAGACAACAACUGAUCGUGAUGUCUGAGUUAUUGAUACUUAGGCCAUGAUCCUGUCACCUUAGGUCGAUCGGUACCUCAAGUUGAGAAUCAAAGAAAAGCUGAGUAAUCAGCUUGGAGAUUGAUGAUUGAUUUUAGUUCCUAAACUUGUCUAGGUCACACCCCGCAAGGGUUACUCCUGGGCCAUUAGCUCAGGUGGUUAGAGCGCACCCCUGAUAAGGGUGAGGUCCCUGGUUCAAGUCCAGGAUGGCCCAUUCGUUGUUGGGGGUAUAGCUCAGUUGGUAGAGCGCCUGCUUUGCAAGCAGGAUGUCAGCGGUUCGAGUCCGCUUACCUCCACUGAACCCUACCCUGGUAACUAAUUCUGGAGAAUGAUUGUUGUUGUGACUUAGUAUUGUCUACAUGAAAAGAACCUAGCUUCUUAUCAUCUUUUUAGUUGAUAAUAUGCUGGGCUCCUAUGGAUUUAUUCCAUGAGAUUUCAGUAGAACCUUGAAAACUGCAUAGAUUAGAAAGAAUAAAGCAUCUCAUGGAUGCAUAAUUCUGUUAUGAUUACUUGUUUGAAAACCAAGUGAUCUAUUAUCAGAAUUCAUGUUUAAUUCUUGAGUAAUAGCCGAGCACAAUUGAUUUUGUGAUUGAAUUAAGGUCAAGCUACAA